rnacentral:piRNA from 1 species
UGACCUGUAUUUUCCUCUUCCGCUUGAUUA